rnacentral:rRNA from 1 species
UACGUAGGGUGCAGGCGUUAAUCGGAAUUACUGGGCGUAAAGCGUGCGCAGGCGGUUUGCUAAGACAGGUGUGAAAUCCCCGGGCUUAACCUGGGAACUGCGCUUGUAACUAGCAGGCUAGAGUGUGGCAGAGGGGGGUGGAAUUCCAGGUGUAGCAGUGAAAUGCGUAGAUAUCUGGAGGAACACCGAUGGCGAAGGCAGCCCCCUGGGCUAACACUGACGCUCAUGCACGAAAGCGUGGGGAGCAAACAGG